UAAAUGAAAGCCAAAAAGAGGCGCCUAUCUGUUAAUUAGGAGAAUGUAAAAUAAUUACUCAUUUAG
rnacentral:tRNA from 1 species